rnacentral:rRNA from 1 species
UGGGGAAUAUUGCGCAAUGGGGGAAACCCUGACGCAGCAACGCCGCGUGAUCGAAGAAGGUCUUCGGAUUGUAAAGAUCUUUUAUCAGGGACGAAGGAAGUGACGGUACCUGAUGAAUAAGCCACGGCUAACUACGUGCCAGCAGCCGCGGUAAUACGUAGGUGGCAAGCGUUAUCCGGAUUUACUGGGUGUAAAGGGCGCGUAGGCGGGGAUGCAAGUCAGAUGUGAAAUCUAUGGGCUCAACCCAUAAACUGCAUUUGAAACUGUAUCUCUUGAGUGUCGGAGAGGUAGAUGGAAUUCCUAGUGUAGCGGUGAAAUGCGUAGAUAUUAGGAGGAACACCAGUGGCGAAGGCGAUCUACUGGACGAUAACUGACGCUGAGGCGCGAAAGCGUGGGGAG